CUCUGCCCUGGGGAGACCACAUCUGGAAUAUUGUGUCCAGCUGUGGCCCCUCAGUUCCAGCAGGACAGGGAACUGCUGCAGAGAGUCCAGCGCAGCCACCAAGAUGCUGGAGGGAGUGGAGCAUCUCCCGUGUGAGGAAAGGCUGAGGGAGCUGGGGCUCUGGAGCUGGACAAGAGGAGACUGAGGGGGGACUCAUUCCUGGGGAUCAAUAUGGAAAGGGGGAGUGUCAGGAGGAUGGAGCCAGGCUCUUCUGGUGACAACCAGGGACAGGACAAGGGGCAAUGGGUGCAAACUGGAACACAGGAGGUUCCACUUGACUAUGAGAAGCAACUUGUUGGGGGUGAGGGUGGCAGAGCCUGGCCCAGGCUGCCCAGGGGGUUGUGGAGUCUCCUUCUGUGCAGACAUUCCAACCCGCCUGGACACCUUCCUGUGUAACCUCAUCUGGGUGUUCCUGCUCCAUGGGGGGAUUGCACUGGGUGAGCUCUCGAGGUCCCUUCCAGUCCCUGACACUGUGAUUCGGUGGUUCUGUGUCAGCCCCCCCCAUGCGCACCCCGUGCAGAGGGGCCGGGCGCAGGCCCUGCCUUCUCCAGCAGGUUUCCAGAGCACCGCUUCUGGAACAGCCUCCUCUUCUCCAGCUCUACGAAACACACUGAACCCCAGCGUACCGUGGGGGCUGCCAGCUCGCCUCCCCACCAGGACGCAGGACCAGGAACAGGGAUUGCUGCUCCAGCGCCCAAAAUAACCCACGGGGCCGAGCCCCGGGUUGUUUUACGAGGGCAGGUAUAUUCUGCGCACAAACCACCCGUCUCUUCUGCGGCUCCUCGUGCUGACAUGCAGGUGCUGAAUGCAGUGGUUUCACCAGGUUACAAAAACGUGACUUGACUUCUAAAUCCUAACGCCUGUGAAUAAGGAGAAGAAACAGCUUUGCUGUUUACGAAGUGUUUUCUCUCAGCCUGGUUUCCCCACCAAUUGCCUUGAACGUCACUCAGAAUGAACAGAAAGGAGUAAGGUACAAACGUGCCGGCUCCGCUUGAAUUAACAGCAACUCAGGCGCUGGGAUGGAGCCGCUGUCCCGGCUGGUGACCUCGGCUCUCCGUGUCUCGGAGUGGGAUGAGGCAGCUGAGUGUGACACCUGAAGUCGACCCUCCUGCCAUCGCACCCCGUCCAAAAGUCUCGCGGAAGCUCAGCCGCAAGGUCCCCAAGAUGGCAAAGUUGUCACCGUGCCAGUUUGUCAUGUGCUGGAAGGGCACGGGAAGGUUUCCCAACGCGGUGUUCCCCGCACAGCUGCAGACCCGUCCCGGACGUCGCAGAUUCAGACUAACGCUGCAGUUCCAGACUAACACCGUGGAUUUAGACUAACGUCACGGUUCCAGACUAACACCGUGGUUUCAGACUAAUGCCGCGGUUCCAGACUAACGCCACGCCCCAGCCCAGCGGUUGGCCCGGCUUCCGUGGGGUUUGCACCCCCAUCAUUAGCGUGUGUAAUUGCAUCUUCGUCCUGCAUAUGCAAAUUUGCAGCCUUUGGCCUGCCAGGCUGGUGAACACGCUCUCACUUUCUUUCUUAGCAUCGAGCAUGUGUUUCCCGUCGGUUCCAAAUGAACCAAAACGAUGUCGUUAACAUACGGCUCUGAACUUGAAAAGCUGCUGCUCUUCCACUCCACUCCAUUUACACAUCAAGCAGCCAGGGCAUUAAAUCGCGUUUGUUGUGUGACUUGCUGUACUGCCAGCUAGCCAGGGUUCCUUCGUGUCUUUGAAGCGCUGAACCCUGUUCUAAGGAAGUUUUGAUUCGGAGCUUGAAGUUUGGCGAAAGAGCAUGAAAACCAGAGCUUUUGUCAGACACCCGAGGAUCGCUGCAGCGAAGACGUGGGCAGAGCGCGGAUCCUCGUGUCUCCAGACCCACCGCCCAACGAGCGUUUCGGGUUUCAGCUCCCCGGCUCUGCAGCCGGAGGAAUGAGCCUGAGCCUUACUAAGCCUCACACCUAGAGCGGGCUUAGGUGCACAUUUUGCUAGGAGACUGCACGCCCAGAAAUAGGAUGUGGAUGAUCAAGAAUGCUGGGCUCUAUUCUUGGCUUCGAAAUGAAGUGUGAUCUGGUGCCUGGAGGAGAUGUUAUAUCAGGAUCGCCAAGCUGCAGUUUUGACAGUAAUUCUGAGAAACACUGACGGGAGGGGGGAAAAGUCUUAGCUCGUCCUACUGGAGUCACAAGCUCUUUUCCUAAAUAUAAUUUGUGUAUUGGGCUUUCCAAACCCCGAGAAUUAUAUUUGGCUGCUUUUUGGAGUACGUUAUAAGUCCUUGUUCACAUAACAAAGCUCUGAAGUGCACGGAAUAUAAACAGCAACCAGAAGCGAGGCCGGCGAGCUGACAUUUCUUGGCUUACAGCAUAUUGCACGUUCCUCUGGUCUGCAGGGUAUUUAUGUUUCUCCUCUUGUCUGGGGAAUAUUAUCCUGACUGGCAUUGCAAGAGGAAAGGCAGGCGAACUAAAGCCGAAUGCAAAAUAUCCUGCAAAAUCUGGUAGGCCGGUUGCUCUUGAGAGCUCUGAUGCAGAAGAUAAUUAUAGAUGAAAGUGUAGCAACCGCUGUGGUUGAGGUUGCGAAAUGCUGUAUUUACCGGGGUUGCUUAGGAGCCGUGCAAACGCGCCGCCGUGCCUGCGCAGCGCGGCGGCUCCGGCGGGGCCGCGGCUUCGGGGAGGGUCGGAGCUGCCGCUUGCUCCGGUUCUGCAGGACCUUUGUUGCCCAAAUAUGGCCCAGCGGCACGGCGGCGCUCCAGCGGCUGCGAAUCGCGGGCCUGGGAUGAGCCGUUUGGUGAGACGAAGGCUCAGAAGGCCCAGCCCUCCACGCGGAGCACAUCUAAAUGCUGCUCUUUUGGAGAAAAUACCCUCUUGAAGCUUUCCCUGCAGAAAUCCGGAGGAGCACAGGACCAGCAGCCCCUCGCAGAAGGGCUGCAGAGCCAGAUACCCAUCAGGACUCAGAGUCUGCUUUUGUUUCAAGGCAAGCUGAGGAAAUUAAUUAUACAAGCUUUUGUGUUUAGACAACAUUAAACCAAAACCACCCUGGGGCAUGUCCUCGGCUUGUGUAAAUCGUCAGGAGGUAUCAAAGUAAAGAUCAAAUGCCCGGCCUUC